UGGCCAACAACCUAAGUAUAAAAGAAGGAAC
rnacentral:piRNA from 1 species